rnacentral:rRNA from 1 species
CAGUAGCCGCGGUAAUACAGAGGGUGCGAGCGUUAAUCGGAUUUACUGGGCGUAAAGCGUGCGUAGGCGGCUUUUUAAGUCGGAUGUGAAAUCCCUGAGCUUAACUUAGGAAUUGCAUUCGAUACUGGGAAGCUAGAGUAUGGGAGAGGAUGGUAGAAUUCCAGGUGUAGCGGUGAAAUGCGUAGAGAUCUGGAGGAAUACCGAUGGCGAAGGCAGCCAUCUGGCCUAAUACUGACGCUGAGGUACGAAAGCAUGGGGAGCAAACAGGAUUAGAUACCCCUGUAGUCCCUGUCUCUAUACA